rnacentral:rRNA from 1 species
UGAGGAAUAUUGGACAAUGGGGGCGACCCUGAUCCAGCCAUGCCGCGUGAGUGAUGAAGGCCUUAGGGUUGUAAAACUCUUUCGCUGGUGAAGAUAAUGACGGUAACCAGUAAAGAAGCCCCGGCUAAUUUCGUGCCAGCAGCCGCGGUAAUACGAAAGGGGCUAGCGUUGUUCGGAAUUACUGGGCGUAAAGCGCGCGUAGGCGGCAUAGCAAGUUGGGGGUGAAAUCCCAGGGCUCAACCCUGGAACUGCCUCCAAAACUGCUAAGCUAGAGGAUGUGAGAGGAUAGUGGAAUUCCGAGUGUAGAGGUGAAAUUCGUAGAUAUUCGGAGGAACACCAGUGGCGAAGGCGGCUCACUGGCUCGAUACUGACGCUGAGGUGCGAAAGUGUGGGGAGCAAACAGG